GAGGGCACCGCAGCCCCUCGGGGAGGCGAGCGGCCCCGCCGCCCUCCCGGCGCCCGCCCCUCCCCGCCGGCCGCGGACCGCCGCGCCGCCUGACACGCCGCAAACUUUCCUGCGGCCGUUCUUGCUGCGCAUCGACUCGACGCGGCGGGCGGGUGCUCCCGGGGCGGCGGCGGCGGCGGCAGCGGCACCGCUCGGUACAGGCACCGCCCAGCGGGGCGCGGUGGAAGCCGCUCCCGCGCUGCCCUGCUCCGCCGCGGGACACGGGCUGUGCGGAGACCGAGCCGCAGUGCCGCGCGCCGGCCGGCUCCGCGCUGCAGCCGCGGCGCGCUGAGGAGUCGCUGCGCGCCCCAGCCGCGGGGCACCAUGAGCCAAGCGCAGCCCUACGCCCCGCGGAAGAGCAGCUCCCCGGCGGCCGGCGCCCGGCGGAACGACAGCCAAGACUACCUGCUGCUCGACGCGGAGCCCUGCGAGGAGAGCGCCCUGCCGCCUUACGCCUUCUACCCCGUCCGAGGCAACGAGAACAGACUAGCACUACGACGACAGACCAUUCUCCGGGAGAAGGGGAGGAGGCAGGCCAGUCGUGGGCCAGCCUAUAUGUUUAAUGACCACUCAACAAGUCUUUCUCUGGAGGAAGAGCGCUUUUUGGAUGCAGCAGAAUAUGGAAAUAUUCCAGUGAUUCGCAAAAUGCUGGAAGAAUGUCCCUCACUCAACGUGAAUUGUGUGGACUACAUGGGGCAGAAUGCCUUGCAGCUAGCAGUUGCCAAUGAGCACCUGGAGAUCACAGAACUUCUGCUGAAGAAGGAGAACCUGUCUCGGGUUGGGGAUGCCUUGCUUUUGGCUAUUAGCAAAGGUUACGUUCGGAUAGUGGAAGCCAUCCUAAACCAUCCCGCAUUUGCUGAAGGCAAGAGGCUUACAUUGAGUCCUAGCCAGUCAGAACUCCAGCAUGAUGACUUUUAUGCAUAUGAUGAAGAUGGGACACGUUUUUCCCAUGAUGUUACACCGAUCAUUCUGGCCGCUCAUUGCCAUGAGUAUGAGAUUGUCCACACUCUGCUGAGAAAAGGAGCUCGGAUCGAUAGGCCACAUGACUAUUUCUGCAAGUGCAGUGAAUGCAAUCAGAAACAAAAACAUGACUCUUUCAGCCAUUCAAGAUCCAGAAUCAAUGCCUACAAAGGUCUGGCCAGCCCUGCUUAUCUGUCUUUGUCCAGUGAAGAUCCUGUAAUGACUGCCUUAGAGCUCAGCAAUGAGCUGGCCGUUCUUGCCAACAUUGAGAAAGAGUUCAAGAAUGAUUACAAGAAAUUGUCUAUGCAAUGCAAGGAUUUUGUAGUUGGACUCCUUGAUUUGUGCAGAAAUACAGAAGAAGUAGAAGCUAUUUUAAAUGGUGAUGUAGAGAUGAGCCAUAAUAAUGAACAUGGUCGCCCCAGCCUUAGCCGCUUAAAACUUGCCAUUAAGUAUGAAGUUAAAAAGUUUGUAGCACAUCCAAACUGCCAGCAACAACUUCUUUCAAUCUGGUAUGAGAAUUUGUCAGGUUUACGGCAGCAGACCAUGGCAGUGAAGUUUCUGGUUGUUCUUGCUGUUGCAGUAGGACUGCCCUUCCUUUCAAUGGCUUACUGGAUUGCUCCUUGCAGUAAGCUGGGGAGGAUAAUGCGUGGACCAUUUAUGAAGUUUGUAGCCCAUGCAGCCUCUUUCACCAUUUUUCUUGGUCUACUUGUCAUGAAUGCAGCUGACAGAUUUGAUGGCACCAAACUUCGACCUAAUGAAACGACAGGCAAUGUAAAACAGCUAUUUAGGAUGAAAACAUCGUGUUUCUCAUGGAUGGAGAUGCUCAUUAUUUCUUGGGUAAUAGGCAUGAUAUGGUCUGAAUGUAAAGAAAUUUGGUCUCAGGGUCCAAAGGAAUACCUUUUUGAGUUAUGGAAUAUGCUUGAUUUUGGUAUGUUAGCAAUUUUUGCAGCAUCGUUCAUAGCAAGGUUUAUGGCAUUUUGGCAUGCAUCCAGAGCCCAGAACUUCGUCGAUGCAAAUAUGAAAGAUCUGACAAGUCCAACAUUGGAGCCCAACAUAAAAUACUACACCUUGGCCAGAAUAAACUGGGAUCCGUCUGAUCCUCAGAUCAUAUCUGAAGGCCUGUAUGCAAUUGCGGUAGUAUUAAGUUUCUCCAGAAUAGCCUACAUCUUACCAGCUAAUGAAAGCUUUGGACCACUGCAGAUAUCACUUGGCAGAACUGUGAAAGACAUCUUCAAGUUCAUGGUGAUAUUUAUCAUGGUGUUUGUGGCUUUCAUGAUAGGCAUGUUUAAUCUCUAUUCCUACUAUCUGGGGGCAAAACAAAAUGAAGCAUUCACAACUGUUGAAGAAAGUUUCAAGACAUUGUUCUGGGCUAUAUUUGGACUCUCAGAAGUUAAAUCAGUUGUCAUCAAUUAUAAACACAAAUUUAUUGAAAAUACUGGUUAUGUCCUUUAUGGAGUCUAUAAUGUUACCAUGGUCAUUGUCUUACUCAACAUGCUUAUUGCAAUGAUCAACAGUUCGUUCCAGGAAAUUGAGGAUGAUGCUGAUGUAGAAUGGAAAUUUGCAAGGGCUAAACUUUGGUUUUCUUACUUUGAGGAAGGGAGAACUCUUCCAGUACCCUUCAACUUAGUGCCAAGCCCCAAAUCUUUGCUUUAUGUUCUACUCAGAAUCAAAAAAUGUAUUUCUAAACCAUUUCUGUGCCAAAAGAAGAGCUUUCAGGAGGAUGCAGAGAUGAACAAGCUUGGUCAAAGGAAACAAUCAAGUAUAAGAAGCUCAGAUGAAAUCCACUUAAACAGUUUAAACAAUCCUCCAAGGCAAUACCAGACUAAACAGUACAGCUGCUGACCCUGCAAGCAUGACUGUAGUGAUGGUCCGGAAUCUCUAAUCAUGGAUGAUUCACCUCACAACCAACUCUGGUCAGGUCUGUUAUUGUGGAGACAAAACCAGACACAUAAACCUAUGUAUAUUUUGUGUCUUGUAAUGAAAAACAAAAAGUAUUGUGUUGUCAUGGGUUGCAUCAUAUGAAAAUACUAAACCCAAAGUAGAAAGGAAAGACAGAUCCUCAAAGGUAAUUAGAUACUGUGUUCUUACUCAAGUAAUUUGAAGUAAUGGGAGAAUCAGGGGUGGAAUCCAUUUUCCUGGAAAAGUAAAGUUUACAUUAGAAUUUUCUGCCCUAGCUUCCCCUUAUUAUUAGCAGAGAGGGUAGUCAUUCUAAUGGUGUGAUUUAUUUGAUUAAUUUUAGUUGUCUGAGAUGAACUGUGCUCUCAGGUUUGCUUUUUCUGUCCAUAGAGGGAAUUAAAGGUGACUGCCACAGAUACGCAUAUUUACAUUAGAAAGUAACUGUAUUUGGUUAAAUGAGUCCCAGCUGAGAUGCUUAAAUGACACUUAGAAUUGUGGGGCCCAUCUUCUCCAAGCCUAGCAUUGGGAAGAGAUAACUUAUAGAAUAUAAUCUAAAAAAAAUAAAAUAAAGUAAAUUAAUGGCAAAAGGGUUUAGCAGUAAGCACUGCGAAUUAUCUUCUAGUAGCAGUAAAGGCUAGAUGGUUUCACCUACAUGGAGAGCAAAGCUGCAACUGUAUUUAUUAAUUAUUCUCAUAGACUUCAGUAUUAGGUUACGCUUUGUGAAUUAUUACAUUUGUAAGAUGUGUUUAGUUUUCUAACUUUCAUGUAAAUAUAUGCGCAGAUUCAUAAAAAAAUUUAAAUAUCUACCAUAGAUGAAAGCAGAGAUUUUUACAUUAUAUUCCUUUAACCUGGCAAGUCCUACGUUGAAGUAUCUGAAUGCAACACAAUGUAAGAGCUCAUAUUUUAAAAUGUCACUAGAAAGUCCAACUAAGAAAACUUCCUUUCUUCUCUGCAGAAAAUAAUGAAGCGCCUCAUUAAAAGAUAUGUACUGAAAGCUCAGAUAGAUAAGGAGAGUGAUGAAGUCAAUGAAGGUGAACUGAAGGAAAUUAAACAGGACAUCUCAAGUCUCCGAUAUGAACUCCUUGAGGAAAAAUCUCAAAAUUCUGAGGAUCUGGCAGAACUUAUAAGGAAACUUGGGGAAAAACUGUCAAUUGACUCUAAGGAAGAAGAAAGCGAGAGAUAACCUAAAUGUUGAAGAAAUGCAACAGAACAUUAACAAUUCACUUAAAGCCAUAUUUCUGUUUUGCUCAAGUCUAGCUCACAUUUCUACAACAGAUUCAGAAAUUAAAUCAUUCCAAUUCUUUAUUGAAAAAACAGAGUGACAAAUCCUCUGGGUCUACAGCAUGGAGGAGAUACCACUCAAGUAAAGAUAUUUAUUCUUUACCUGCUGAAGAACAGUUAAUUUGAGAUAAUUUUAAUAUUCCAUUUGCCUCUUUUAGAAUUCCAGUGGAAUCUUGGUAAGCCCAGUCAUGAAAGAUUAAAAGCAUAAAUCUUAACUUUUCCUACAUUAACUGGUUAUUUUUGCAAAUUUCCUUUUAUAGACAUUCUUACAUAUAUUUUAGUGAAGCAAAAGAGAAAAAUUCCAGGCUUUUACAUAUUUAUAUCAGAAUAACCUAUUUAAUUUUUCAAGCAUUUCCAACUAGGAAAAAAAAAAAAAAAAGCAAUCUGCCUUUCUUACAAUGUGGAAGAUAUUAAAGUAAUUUAUUU